CCAACGAACUCGCAUUUUUUUUUUUUUUUAAGUCCGGCCUUUCCUAGGUGGGGUCAAGGGCCCCGCCCACCGAAGCCACGCCCAGCAGCCGCCCCGGGGCGGGGCUCUCCUGGGCUCCCGCCUGCCCUUUCCCCUCCGGCCUCUGCCGGUGCUGCUGCACCCUGCGGAGCUCCGAGCACGUGCGCGCCUAAGUUACCGAGUUUUGAGGGCAGGGACUCUGAGCUGCACACGUGUUCUCUGUUGGCUGACUAACCUGGAGUUUCAUUGCAGAGAGGCCAGCUAUGGCAGAUGGAACUGCAGGAUGCCUUGAAAGUAGGGCAUCCUUCAGCCAUCUGAAGAGAGGAAAUAAUGGCAGAUGACCGUCUGCAUAUGCAGUUUUUUUCAGAUGCCUUCACCUGAGUGACAUCUAACUCCAUCAGGACCACAGAUGUCUGACAGCCCUGUGCAACACCAAGAUAACUAAUGUAUGUAUGUAUGUUGUCUUUUUGUCAUGUAGGUCUCAAUUAACUUAUUAUAGCUCAGAUGGGGAUGGGGGCUUAAAAGUAUGUUUUUAAAAUUUAUGUAGAGAAAAAUAAAAAUAAAAAUAAAAAAAAUUUAUGUAGAGUAUCAGAAUUUUAGAGAAUUCUUAGAAUCUAAAGUCCAGCCCCUCAUUUUCUAGAGCUCUGCUGUGCAAUAGCUAUAUGCUACAUGUGGCUGUGUAAGUUUGUAAAAAGUGAAAUCACUGGCUGGGCACAGCG